UACGUAGGUGGCAAGCGUUGUCCGGAAUUACUGGGUGUAAAGGGAGCGUAGGCGGGAAUGCAAGUUGAAUGUUAAAUACAUCGGCUCAACCGAUGUUCGCGUUCAAAACUGCAUUUCUUGAGUGAAGUAGAGGCAGGCGGAAUUCCUAGUGUAGCGGUGAAAUGCGUAGAUAUUAGGAGGAACACCAGUGGCGAAGGCGGCCUGCUGGGCUUUUACUGACGCUGAGGCUCGAAAGUGUGGGGAGCAAACAGGAUUAGAUACCCUGGUAGUCCACACUGUAAACGAUGAUUACUAGGUGUGGGGGGACUGACCCCUUCCGUGCCGGAGUUAACACAAUAAGUAAUCCACCUGGGGAGUACGGCCGCAAGGUUGAA
rnacentral:rRNA from 1 species